rnacentral:rRNA from 1 species
GAUGAACGCUAGCGGCAGCCUAACACAUGCAAGUCGAGGGAGAAGCCCUUCGGGGCAGAAACCGGCGCACGGGUGCGUAACGCGUAUGCAACCUACCUUUCACAGGGGGAUAGCCCGAAGAAAUUUGGAUUAAUACCCCAUAAUAUUAUUGGAUGGCAUCAUUUGAUAAUUAAAAUUACGAUGGUGAAAGAUGGGCAUGCGUCCUAUUAGCUAGUUGGAGUGGUAACGGCGCCCCAAGGCUACGAUAGGUAGGGGUCCUGAGAGGGAGAUCCCCCACACUGGUACUGAGACAGGGACCAGACUCCUACGGGAGGCAGCAGUGAGGAAUAUUGGUCAAUGGUCGGAAGACUGAACCAGCCAUGCCGCGUGCAGGAAGAAUGCCUUAUGGGUUGUAAACUGCUUUUAUAUGGGAAGAAUAAAGGAAGUAACCGUGUAACUUUGA